UACUUCAUAGCACGGGUCAAUCAGUCAUCCCAGGUCAUGAAUGACGGAAGCAUUGCGAGUAACAGUAGCUACCAGGACACAUCAUAUGAUGAAACAGCUGCAAAAAAUGAAGAAGGAAUUUGCAAAAACAAGCAAAAAGUGUACUGCUCUGUCCUGGACAAACAAACCUCAUACAAUUAAAAAGAUGAGAAACAAGAAGGCAAUAGCCACACUCAGUGGAUGAGGAAGCUAAAGUUCACCGAAAUCAGAAGAAACACAUUUAUUAA